GAUUCUGCCAGUUGGUCCAUCUUUUGAUGAGUACUGAUUGUGCGGGGUCUAUCCGCCUGGGGAGACGGAAUGUACUUUAUUGUAUGUUGCGGGUAGCCAGGACCUUUACCUUGAAAAAAUUAGAGUGUUCAAAGCAGGCCUAUGCCUGAAUACGUUAGCAUGGAAUAAUGAAAUAGGACGUGCGGUUCUAUUUUGUUGGUUUCUAGAGUCGCCGUA
rnacentral:rRNA from 1 species